UACUUUUUAUUAUGCUGUUAGUGUGAUGCCUAUUUUCACUUAAAAGCAUAAAGAAAUACAAACAACAACGUUUUUUAUCAGCAAAUUUUAAAAUAAUUGUUGUUAUAGAUUCUGUUGUUAUUGUCAAAGUGACCAAGACCAAGUGGAAAAUGUUUUUAGUCGUCUGCUAAAAACCUGCAUAGCAACCGCACACGCCUCUCCUCGAACGGUGAGCAAAUCACGUCCGAAUCUCAGUGUGACGUCACGUUUGUUGACACUUCCAUUAGCUGGCCACUCGCGAAACGUCACAACAGCGGCGCGCGCCCGUGACCCUCAAAGACUGUCGCUUUGUGUUUUCUGCCUGGAAACAUCUCGAGCUAAUCGUAGCUGUGAAAGCGGGCAGGAGCCGCAUGGGAAAUGGGGUCCGAGCACAGUACUAGUUCUGCUACUGACCAGAGACAGAGGGAUCAGGGCAACCUGUCAUCCCAAGGUGAGGCAUCUUCAUCCACUGUCCACUCUGAUACCGGUUCUGACCCCGAGGACCAUCUGGAUCCAGAAACCGAACUGCCUCAAUGCAAAAUAGGCACCAGAAGGGUAGAUGACAUGAGUUUCAUGAUUUCAUGCACAAACUGGUACUAGAGACUUCAUCAUGCACCAUGCAAGAGAAACUGGACAUUUACAACUUCUUAGAUAAAUGUGUGCCGAAUUCAACAUAUGGAAACAAAACAUAAGAAGAUGCUGUUGUAAAGCUGUUUAAAUUCAUUUGAUACUAUUUAUUCCUUUGUAAGUAAUUAUGAAUUCAACCAGCAAACAAAACAUGAAUAUGUAUUUUACAAUUACCAUUAUUUUUAGGUUUGUGCUUAAUGUAAAUCUGUUCAGAUCAACAGCUUUGGACUUGCGUAAUGAUUGCAUAUUAAAGCAUGUAUUGUUAUGCUGUUUAUAACCACCUACAUUAUUGGUACAGAAACAUUUACAUUUAUUCAUUUAGCAGAUGCUUUAUCCAAAGUGACAAAAUAUGUAUUUAAUCCAAAGUGAAUGAAAUAUAUUUGCAUAAAUAUUAUGCAUUUAUUAUAUUAAUCUAUCCAGUAACCAGAAAACACUCAACAUUUAUGUAAUUUUAUUUUAUUGACAUUUUUCUUUGAACAUGGUGGUAUUAGAUACACAGUGUAAAACUGUAGACUAAAAACCGAAAACAAAAAUGACCCAUUGUUUAUAGCGUUAAAAACAGUUUCAACCAAUAAAGCUUAAAUAAUAUCUAAUAUUAGUAAAGCAAGUCUGUUUAAAAUCACUUGUCCUGAAGAAAUAUAACAUUAUGCAUGACAAUGUGAAAUUAUUGGCUACAGUUAGAGUGAAAGAAAAAUACAAAAGAUUGAAUUUCAAAAAGUUUCAGGAAAUCUUUAUAUUUACAUGACCAUUAAAACUUGGACAAAAUCUGAGCAGACUGCGACAUUUUACCUGCAAAUCAGAAAAAUAUCAAAAAGGACAGAAUCAGAAUAGUUUGAUUCAAAUUAUAGAGUGAAACUUUUCACUCUUCAAUUCUGUCAAAGGGAAAAACAAUUAUAUACAGUAAUACAAUUCCCGCAACGGUCAGUCAAGAAAAAACGAACCAAAAAAACUUUAAAGCUAUCUUUGAUAAAAUCUCCGUUUAAAAUUAACCCGCUGUAAUCGAAAGCGUAAAUACAGUUGGGUCCUUCACUAUACCUCUGAUAUGUUUGUCCUAUUGUUAGUUUCAUAAAAGUACAGUAAAAACAAAAGGCAACAGCAGCUUGGGUUAAAAGUGACUGUUGUCCAAAGCCACAAUCGUACCCAUUAAAAAGAGGCAAAUUACCAGAGAAUUCCUAUUAUUUAUGUCUCCCUGUACAGUUCGGUUCAUUUAUUUAUUUCUUCUGUGCAACUAAUGUGGUUAUAGGCAUGGCUUCACCUUGAUUUUAAAUUAAACUGUGUCGAAUACCCUUACGUCUCUAUUAAUGAUAAAUAAAUAGCUUUUCAUAUGAUACUGUACGCCUCUAGCAUUACAAACCUUUCACAUGACCCUACAACAAACGUCUCUAAAGAUAUCCACCUUUGAUAAAUACACUUUAGUUCUGUUAAACAUUUCACUUCUGACAUAGGUUUGUUUAAAGUUUAAACUGUGUUCAUAUAUACACAUAAUACUGGCUUGCUUAGUGAUCUAUAUGUCUGUAAAAUUCCUAUGGAAUGGUCCAAAAGUGUGUA